UACGUAGGGCGCAAGCGUUGUCCGGAAUUAUUGGGCGUAAAGAGCUCGUAGGCGGUUUGUCGCGUCUGCUGUGAAAACUCGAGGCUCAACCUCGAGAUGUCGGCGGAAACCGUCUGGCUAGAGUCCGGAAGAGGAGAGUGGAAUUCCUGGUGUAGCGGUGAAAUGCGCAGAUAUCAGGAAGAACACCUAUGGCGAAGGCAGCUCUCUGGGACGGUACUGACGCUGAGACGCGAAAGCGUGGGGAGCGAACAGG
rnacentral:rRNA from 1 species